AUAGAUAUAGGAAGAUGUGGUGUGAGUGCCAAUGAGACAACUCUCCAUCCAAAUAACAAUUUAUAAAAGUAAACCAUUAAUGUCAAUGUACGGCCUUCAACACGGAGCCUUGGCUCACACCGAACAACAACCUAUAAAGGGCCCCAAAAUUACUAGUGUAAAACCAUUCAAACGGGAAAACCAACGGUCUAAUCUAUAUAAAAAAAUGAGAAAAGAGAAGCACGUAUAAAUUACAUAAACAAACGACAAC
rnacentral:lncRNA from 1 species